AAAGUAAGCUAGGGGUGCCUUUACGGCUGAGAGGAUGCAUGCAUCCAACUCUUGAACCUGAUUUGGUUAGUACCAACGGAGGGAAGCUGUCUUUAUUUACG
rnacentral:ncRNA from 1 species